UGGGAGAGUGUGUUAUUUACAACAAGUCUGGUGAAAGUGGAAAGGAUGCUUUUACUGUGGUUGAUGCGAUAAGUCAGAAAGUUGGGCUCACAUCAUACUUUCUCAAGUUCGAUGAAAUGAUGAAAAGCUUCGUUUUCUCCUCUGCAAAGCAAGUAGAACCUCAUAAACCAAUGACAAGAUCUGCUGCAGCUAGCAUGGCAGAGAUUGAAGAUGUUGAUGAGCAGGAUUCCUCUGAUCAAAAUAAUGAGGAUCAUCCUAUUCUCCCGUCAAUAUUUGACAGCUCUUUUGUUAACUUUGUCAAGAGGGUGGAGACAGAUAUCAGAGAA
rnacentral:misc_RNA from 1 species